rnacentral:tRNA from 1 species
GGCACCAUACUUUAAUUUAAAAGGUUUGAUUUGCAUUUAAAAAAUAGACAUUUAAUUGUCUUGGUGCCC